rnacentral:rRNA from 1 species
UACGUAGGGGGCAAGCGUUAUCCGGAAUUAUUGGGCGUAAAGAGUGCGUAGGUGGUUUUAUAAGCGUGAGGUGAAAGGCAAUGGCUCAACUAUUGUAAGCCUUGUGAACUGUAAGACUUGAGUGCAGGAGAGGAAAGUGGAAUUCCUAGUGUAGCGGUGAAAUGCGUAGAUAUUAGGAGGAACACCAGUGGCGAAGGCGACUUUCUGGACUGUAACUGACACUGAGGCACGAAAGCGUGGGGAGCAAACA